GAUUCCCCUAGUAACUGCGAGUGAAGAGGGAAAAGCUCAAAUUUAAAAUCUGGUAGUCUAUGGCUGCCCGAGUUGUAAUCUAGAGAAGCAUUAUCCGCGCCGGACCAUGUACAAGUUUUCCUGGAAUGGAGCGUCAUAGAGGGUGAGAAUCCCGUCUUUGACAUGGGCUACCGGGGCUUUGUGAUGUGCUCUCCAAGAGUCGAGUUGUUUGGGAAUGCAGCUCUAAAUGGGUGGUAAAUUCCAUCUAAAGCUAAAUAUUGGCGAGAGACCGAUAGCGAACAAGUACCGUGAGGGAAAGAUGAAAAGAACUUUGGAAAGAGAGUUAAACAGUACGUGAAAUUGUUGAAAGGGAAACGCUUGAAGUCAGUCGCGUCUGCCAGGAAUCAACCUUGUAAUUUUGCUGGGUGUACUUUCUGGUUGACGGGUCAGCAUCAAUUUUGAUCAGUGGAAAAAGUUCAGAGGAAUGUGGCACCUUCGGGUGUGUUAUAGCCUUUGUUCGUAUACAUUGAUUGGGAUUGAGGAACUCAGCAUGCCGCAAGGCCGGGUCUUUUGACUACGUUCAUGCUUAGGAUGCUGGCAUAAUGGCUUUAAUCGACCCGUCUUGAAACACGGACCAAGGAGUCUAACAUGCCCGCGAGUGUUUGGGUGGAAAACCCAGACGCGUAAUGAAAGUGAAGGUUGAGAUCCCUGUCGUGGGGAGCAUCGACGCCCGGACCAGAACUUUUGUGACGGAUCCGCGGUAGAGCGUGUAUGUUGGGACCCGAAAGAUGGUGAACUAUGCCUGAAUAGGGUGAAGCCAGAGGAAACUCUGGUGGAGGCUCGUAGCGAUUCUGACGUGCAAUCGAUCGUCAAAUUUGGGUAUAG
rnacentral:rRNA from 1 species